rnacentral:miRNA from 1 species
CUGGGGGAUGGAAGUUCACUUC